UAAAUAACCCGGAAAUCUAGCAGCCCGUUCUCGGAUCGUCACCCAUCUAUUAAAGCGUCGCCGGCACAGCCGCAACCAACGCAACCUCCGCUGCUGCCGCUCUCCUACUAGCUGGUUGCUUCCAUGGAGGCGCAACCACCAUCCGUCCAAUCUGCAUCCUCCUCGCCGUCGCCGGUGCCGGUUCCGGUGCCGGUGCCGGUGCCGGUGCCGGCGACGGCGAACCCAGCCCAGCCUUCACAACUCUCCCAAACACCUGCGGCAUCCCCUGUGAAAUCCGAGAUUCCAGCACGCGAAUCGAACGAAUCACUCCCUGCCGCGGUCUCCUGUCUUCCAGAUACCCCGCCGCCAGUAUCGUAUACCAUCACAAUACCCAGUUGCUCCGGUUGGUUUUCCUGGGAUCAAAUUCACGAGACAGAGAAGAGAAUCCUUCCGGAGUUUUUCGAUGAGAGAUCGUCUUCCAAGAACCCUGGCGUCUACAAGUAUUACAGGGAUUCUAUUAUUGGACGUUUUAGAGCGAACCCUUCGAGGAAGAUCACUUUCACGGAAGCCCGGCGCGGGCUGGUUGGCGACGUCGGAUCCGUACGAAGGGUUUUUGAUUUCCUGGAGGCGUGGGGUUUGAUCAAUUACACGCCUUCCGUGAAGCCACUGCCCAAGGAGAAAAAAGAGGUGGGGGAUACGGCGGAGAGGAAGGAUAGCUCUAAGAGGCUUUGCAGCAAUUGCAAAUCGCUCUGCAACAUUGUUUGCUUUGUGACGGACAAGGCAGAUAUAACUCUCUGCGCAAGGUGUUUUGUCCGUGGCAAUUAUCGUGCUGGUCUUAAUUCAGCAGAUUUUAAACGUGUUGAUAUUAGUGAAGAAACAAAGACAGAGUGGACAGACAAAGAGACCCUUCAUCUUCUUGAAGCCAUUUUGCAUUAUGGUGAAGAUUGGAAAAAGGUGGCAGAACAUGUUGGUAGUAGAAGUGAAAAAGAUUGUGUUGCUAGGUUCAUCAAGUUGCCAUUUGGGGAGCAGUUCUUGGGGCCUUCUGAGUUUACUGAAAAUGACAAGGUUGAUGCUGAGCCUAGUGGCUAUAAUAUUGCAGAGUUAAGUCUCUCAAAAAGAAGGCGUUUAACACCUUUAGCUGAUGCAAGCAACCCCAUCAUAGCUCAGGUGGCUUUUUUAGCUGCUAUGGCCGGCCCUGAAGUAGCUGAAACUGCAUCUAAAGCUGCUGUUGCUGCUUUAAGUGAGUUUGAACUUUCCAGCAUCAACAAUGGCAAUGAUGGAAAUAUUGGUUUGAACAAUCAAGAAAUUGAGGAAGCAAAUGAUCAGACUCACCAAGUUUACAAAGACGCUGCUGCUGAAGCACAGUCGCAGCUUAAUAAGGAGCAGCAAGAUAUAGAACAAUCAAUAUCAGGCAUUAUUGAAGUCCAGAUGAAGGAAAUCCAAGAUAAACUAGUACAUUUUGAGGAGUUAGAGCUAUUGAUGGAGAAAGAGUGGCAACAGUUGAAAUAUAUGAAGGAUCUUCUCUUUGCUGAUCAGCUCACCAUUCUGCAACAGAAGCCUAGACUAAUGCCACAGAAACUUUAGCUGUUUGAAAUUCCUGGAAGAUAAAUCAGCUUAGCAAGGCUUAGAUAUUGGGUUGACUCAUGGGUGGGUAGGAGAUCGGCAUGAAUGCUAUCUUGUUGAUUCAGCCUUUUGAGGGAUAUAUGAUCCAUGGAAUUGAAACCAAGAGAAACCAAGAGAUGAAAGUUUUUCAAAGGAAUUGCUCCAGGUGGCUUCUUAUUUGAAGUUACAAGAGAAAUGGAGUUUGUUUUGAAGAUGAUAUAAAAGUAUGGCUUUAGAUCCAUAUUAGAUAAGGAAAGGAGAAGGAGAAUGUUGAACCAGAAUAGUGUUAAGUUCUAUUUGUAUUUUUUUUGUUUAUUUUGGGUCAAUGUAAGAAAAAUUUUUUUGAGGUUAGUAGUUUGUUAUUAGUCACCUGUUUUGGUUUUGGGUAAAUACCCUGUAAAAGAAAGUUUUUGGUAAUGAAAAUUUGACAGCUUCCGCUUA